UACGGAGGGUGCAAGCGUUAUCCGGAAUCACUGGGCGUAAAGGGCGCGUAGGCGGCCUGUUAAGUCCGAUGUUAAAGACUGGGGCUCAACCCCAGCAUUGCGUUGGAUACUGGCAGGCUUGACGGUUGGAGAGGCGAGCGGAAUUACCAGUGUAGCGGUGAAAUGCGUAGAUACUGGUAGGAACACCCAUUGCGAAGGCAGCUCGCUGGACAACACGUGACGCUGAGGCGCGAAAGUGUGGGGAGCAAACCGGAUUAGAUACCCU
rnacentral:rRNA from 1 species